rnacentral:rRNA from 1 species
UACGUAGGGGGCAAGCGUUGUCCGGAUUUAUUGGGCGUAAAGCGCUCGCAGGUGGUUCGGUGCGUCGUGCGUGAAAGACCCCGGCUCAACUGGGGGGUGUCGUGCGAUACGGGCAGACUAGAGUUCGGCAGGGGAGACUGGAAUUCCUGGUGUAGCGGUGAAAUGCGCAGAUAUCAGGAGGAACACCGGUGGCGAAGGCGGGUCUCUGGGCCGAUACUGACGCUGAGGAGCGAAAGCGUGGGGAGCGAACAGG